CGACACGGUGACGUGGGGCGGAUCCCUGAAAACCGGUCUCAGUUCGGAUCGCAGUCUGCAACUCGACUGCGUGAAGGUGGAGUCGCUAGUAAUCGCGGAUCAGCAACGCCGCGGUGAAUGCGUUCCCGGGUCUUGUACACACCGCCCGUCACACCAUGGGAGUCGGAAAUGCCCGAAGCCGGUGACCCAACCCGAAAGGGAGGGAGCCGUCGAAGGCAGGUCGGAUGACUGGGGUGAAGUCGUAACAAGGUAGC
rnacentral:rRNA from 1 species